rnacentral:misc_RNA from 1 species
GCAAACUUGGUCAUUUAGAGGAAGUAAAAGUCGUAACAAGGUCUCCGUUGGUGAACCAGCGGAGGGAUCAUUACAGAGUUGUAAAACUCCCAAACCAUUGUGAACAUACUUAUGUUGCCUCGGCGGCCUGCCUGGCGAGCUGCUUCUGCAGCUGUCGCGCGGUCCGCCGGUGGAUAUAAAACUCUUGUUUUUAUGUAUCUCUGAGAAAACUUUUAAAUAAGUCAAAACUUUCAACAACGGAUCUCUUGGUUCUGGCAUCGAUGAAGAACGCAGC